rnacentral:lncRNA from 1 species
GUGCAUUCUGGGUGUCCACAUAUUUGUUGUCGCUUUAGGAAGAGGAGCUGGGAGGUUGGAGUCACCACACAUGAUGAAAGAAAGAUGUGGCAAAAAACAAACAAACCAACAAAAUACCUCAUAGAGAGAAAUCCUGACCUUGUGCACAAGAAAAGGGAGUGAAGUGGGUGGGGUAUUUAAAGUGGUGGGAGGGGGGCAUUAGGAGAUAUCCAGAAGCUCUCAAGAUUCCAAACGGUCUGCUUUUCUUUUCAGACAUUACACUCCAAGAAAAGAAAGUCUAGUGUAUAAUGGAAGGGCUCUGUCAAAAUUUAACAACGUAAAUAUUGGGCAAAUGAAGUUGUUUCUCUGGUGCUAUCUCAACCUGCCAAUGGAGAAAUAUCUCAAAAAGUCAGAAUUGAAGCCAUUACUCAGAGACAGCAUCCUAUGGCACGGUGAUCCAAAACAAGUACCUUUUCCCUUUCAGCCCCAAACCCCAAAACAUUGGAAAAUAUUGGUGCAGACAAGGCCCAUGGAUAGGUGAGCAGAGCUGGAAGAAGAGACUCCUGCCCCUGGUGGGCCUCAGGCUAUUUAUGGAAUAACGUUUG